rnacentral:rRNA from 1 species
GAGCACGUAGGUGGGUUUGUAAGUCAGAUGUGAAAGCCUUCUGUUCAACGGAAGAAUUGCAUCUGAAGCUGCGAGUCUUGAGUGUAGGAGGGGAGAAUGGAACUUCUGGUGGAGCGGUGAAAUGCGUAGAUAUCAGAAGGAACUCCGGCGGCGAAAGCGAUUCUCUGGCCUAUUACUGACACUCAGUGUGCGAAGGCUAGGGGAGCAAACGGGAUUAGAUACCCCGGUAGUCCUAGCCGUAAACGAUGGGCACUAAGUAGAGGGGUUUU